rnacentral:rRNA from 1 species
GGCACCUUCGGUGUCCGAGUUGUAAUUUGAAGAAGGUAACUUUGGAGUUGGCUCUUGUCUAUGUUCCUUGGAACAGGACGUCACAGAGGGUGAGAAUCCCGUGCGAUGAGAUGCCCAAUUCUAUGUAAAGUGCUUUCGAAGAGUCGAGUUGUUUGGGAAUGCAGCUCUAAGUGGGUGGUAAAUUCCAUCUAAAGCUAAAUAUUGGCGAGAGACCGAUAGCGAACAAGUACAGUGAUGGAAAGAUGAAAAGAACUUUGAAAAGAGAGUGAAAAAGUACGUGAAAUUGUUGAAAGGGAAGGGCUUGAGAUCAGACUUGGUAUUUUGCGAUCCUUUCCUUCUUGGUUGGGUUCCUCGCAGCUUACUGGGCCAGCAUCGGUUUGGAUGGUAGGAUAAUGACUAAGGAAUGUGGCUCUACUUCGGUGGAGUGUUAUAGCCUUGGUUGAUACUGCCUGUCUAGACCGAGGACUGCGUCUUUGACUAGGAUGCUGGCAUAAUGAUCUUAAGCCAC